UACGGGGGGGGCAAGCGUUGUUCGGAAUUACUGGGCGUAAAGGGCUCGUAGGUGGCCAACUAAGUCAGACGUGAAAUCCCUCGGCUUAACCGGGGAACUGCGUCUGAUACUGGAUGGCUUGAGUUUGGGAGAGGGAUGCGGAAUUCCAGGUGUAGCGGUGAAAUGCGUAGAUAUCGAGAGGAACACCAGAGGCGAAGGCGGCGACCUGGACAAGUACUGACACUCAACUACGAAAGCGUGGGGAGCAAACAGG
rnacentral:rRNA from 1 species